GACGAACGCUGGCGGCGUGCCUAAUACAUGCAAGUAGAACGCAGUUGCGAACGGGUGAGUAACGCGUAGGUAACUGCCUCAUAGCGGGGGAUAACUAUUGGAAACGAUAGCUAAUACCGCAUACUGUGAGAUGGACCUGCGUAGUAUUAGCUAGUUGGUGAGGUAAAGGCUCACCAAGGCGACGAUACAUAGCCGACCUGAGAGGGUGACCGGCCAAACCGGGAAUGGGACAACGGCCAGACUCCUACGGGAGGCAGCAGUAGGGAAUCAUCGGACAUGGGCGGAAGUCUGAACGAGCAAAGCCGCGUGAGUGAAGAAGGUUUUCGGAUCGUAAAGAUAUGUUGUUAGAGAAGCGUUAACUAACCAGAAAGGGACGGCUAACUACGUGCCAGCAGCCGCGGUAAUUC
rnacentral:rRNA from 1 species